CUUGCUAUUUGCUAUUUAUACUUGGUGUACUUCACGUAAGGUCUGAGAAAAGGCCGUGUGCUAGAGUAGGCAAGGGUCUCUGGGUAGACGAGAGAGCUUUUAUUAGACCAAGUAAAUAGUUGGGGGGGAAGUUCUUUGCAAGCUUUUGGGCACAAACACCCUUCAUCAGCCAUAGGGAGUCUCAACACAGCUAGAAUCGACAACCAUGCACUAGCUAGAGUAUGCGUUUAUUCCAGCUUAAAGCAUCCCAUUACAUACACAGUGAUGUGGUAUUAACGUCCCGCAUAUUAGCUCCACUCAUUGUCAGGCUAUAGUAGGAAGCCUUGAAAAUGAAGGGAGGUAGCAGCCCUGAAACCAACUAGCACUUGCGCUGUCCAAGGCUCUGAGCAGCCUUUUGAUAGCCUUUCUUUUCCAGCCAGUUAACCAGAGUAUAAACACCUCAGAGGUAACAGUGGGGCUGAAAGAGACUAUGCACUUAUCUGCAUGUUGGUUCAGUAUACACACUGCUUUAACCAAUGUUUGUUUUAAUGGAAGGUACACGUGACAAACAGACUGGUGUUGUGUAAUGCAGUUGUAUGUUAUGCAGAUCAUCACUUAUACAUAACAGGUACUGAGUUAUCCACUGAUUUCAGCUGGAGACAGCUAGUAUGUAGGAGACCUGAAACCAGGGCUCUUCUCACCUGAGGGGGUGCCAACCUACUCUCACCUGUUAGGAGAAUGUUCUAAUGACCAAGGAAAGAGCCUCGGCUGGGAGGGGACACUAGCACAGCUUCAACAGGAGAGGUGCACUCUGCAGAAAGGUAUAGGAGCUUUAUGGGGCCAGAAAGAGAGGGCAUAAGAGGAUGAUGCUCUGGGCUGGUAGCUAUAGCAUUCACCUGGGAUUGGGAAGCCUAGAGUUUUGGUCCUCCAAGGACUUUCUCCAUUUUCUAUUAAACAAUACUUGUAUAAAAUGCAUGAACAGUCACCGAAGCAGAGACCAGCUCUCAGGACAUCCCACUACUCACCUCCAGUUCAGUCUGAGUCCACUUUCUUGAAGACAAGGCUAAUUUCACUGUCUGCAGACUACAUGUUAAGGCUCCAAUUCAGCACAAUAUGUAAGCAGUUGCAUAACUGGAUGGCUCUCC